UUUAGAUAGGAAAAAUUAUCAAGAAUAAUUCCAUCUAUUGAACAUCUGCUGUGAAUAAUUCGUACUAUCGAUUAUUUAUGAAUAAUCCCACCUUUUCACUAUUUUUACUCGUGGCACCCCCUGGAAAAAAGUGACCGGCUUAUGCAGGUUUUCAUAUGGAUUUUAUUUCUUCUAUCCCCUUUAUUUUAUCUAUCUCCUUAGAAAUCUAUUUUCAAACCAUCAUCUUCAAAUUCCUCUUCCAUCUUCAAAUUCCAAACCAUCAUCUUCAAACCAAGAAGUAAACCAAUGUAUUUUGCUGGCUUAAUAUUGGUAUUGGUGUUCAUAUUUUCAGAAAUUAAAAAAAUGAAGAAGAUGGGUGAACAAGGUAGGUGAAGAAGAAGAAGAACCAAAAUGAAGAAAGUAGGUGAAGAAGAAGAAUAAGAAUGAAGAAAGCUAGGGUUAAGGAAUAAGAUGGAUGAACAAGAUGAAGAUAUAAAAGGGAAUGAGAAUAAUACCUGCAACAGCUUCAUGAAAACUUGCAUUAGCCGGUCACUUUUUUCCAGGGGUGCCACGAGCAAAAAUAGUUGAAAGGUGGGAUUAUUCAUAAAUAAUCGAUAGUAUGGAUUAUUCACAGCGGAUCGUCAAUAGAUGGGAUUAUUCCCGAAAAUUUUUCCUUUUAAUCAUCGCCAAUGUCUCUAAGAUAAAUUUGAUGAGAUAGAGAAAUAUAAAAAAGGUAAAUGUAAAGGAUACUCGCUGCUGAUACAAGAUAGGGUCGAAUGGAUAUUUUUUUUUUCUGAAAGGUGAGGCAAACCAUGCCUGUUCUCCUAAAGGAUGGAGUAAAGAGGAUGUGUGUAGUCAAGAAACCACCAGGCCGCAGCUGAUACCUAUAUCCAAUAGGCAUCAAAUCCUAAAUAUUCUACUUAACAUGUAGAUGUUCUAUCCAUUGAGCCACUAUCCUAUGAAUAUUCAUUUUUCGUCAUUAAUGAACAACAUUAAUGAACAACUUUUAAGAAUUGAGUUGGUGACUUUGAAUUUGUAACAUUUAAUUAUAGACAUGUAAGAAUUUAUAGAGAUAACAAAUGUUGAAAACUUUAAAGAGAUAAAUAAAAUUAAUUUUAAGCUAUAAAGUUACAA